CUGGGCAAGUGCUUCGCUGUGAUGCCAUAGUUGAUCUAAUUCAUGGCAUCCAAAUUGUGUCCACAACGAGAGAGCUCUACCUCGAGGAUUCCCCCCUGCAGCUGAAAAUUCUGGCUUUGGAUUCGGAAGUGCCAGAUUAACCCAAAUUGGAAGCCAACUUCCCAGAAUCCCAUCUGAACACUCUCAGUAUGCUUCAUUUGUUUAAACUGCCAGGACAGCCAAACCUUUGGGGAGGCACCUUCUUCCCAGCUUCAAAUGUGUUUCACUGAAGGCCAGAGGCACAUCAUCAUUCGUCACAGAUUGCUCUUACCCCACUGGAAAUGCUCCUCUCAUUUGGUGUGAUGCCAGUUCCUACUGAGAGCUCCUCAAAGCCUCCCAGCAUGUUUAGGACUCGAGCAACCCAGUGCCAGUGGAAAGGAACGAGGAGUCUAGAGCAGGACUCAGGACAGUAUUUCCAAAAUGCCAGCAAUUUACUGCUCCAAGAUGCAAGCUGUUGUGAACUGCAGGCCAUCAUCCUCUUCAUGGACACUCAACUCACAAACCUGCAUCAAUUCACAGCAAAAGGUGCAAUUUAACUCUGCCCAUUUGGAGGGUGUUCAAGGAUAAGGACAUGCAGAAAUGUGCUGAGGGGCAGAGCACCUGGAGUCACAAAGAUGCACUUUUAAGAGUAUUUGGAAAGUUAAUAAAAUAUUUAGAUCCUUACAGCUAUCCUUAGAGAUAGCUUUUUGCACUGAAGGAGUACCUUAUGCCUUGUUGAAUUGUUUUUAAUUAAAUUAUGUCCUCUAGGAUUAAGAAAAGAGUGUAGUUAAGUGA